GAUGAACGCUGGCGGUGUGCCUAAUACAUGCAAGUCGAGCGAACAGACGAGGAGCUUACUCCUCUGACGUUAGCGGCGGACGGGUGAGUAACACGUGGAUAACCUACCUAUAAGACUGGGAUAACUUCGGGAAACCGGAGCUAAUACCGGAUAACAUGUUGAACCGCAUGGUUCAACAGUGAAAGACGCUCUUGCUGUCACUUAUAGAUGGAUCCGCGUCGCAUUAGCUAGUCGGUAAGGUAACGGCUUACCAAGGCAAAGAUGCGUAGCCGACCUGAGAGGGUGAUCGGCCACACUGGAACUGAGACACGGUCCCGACUCCUACGGGAGGCAGCAGUAGGGAAUCUUCCGCAAUGGGCGAAAGCCUGACGGAGCAACGCCGCGGGAGUGAAGAAGGUCUUCGGAUCGGAAAACUCUGUUAUUAGGGAAGAACAAAUGUGUAAGUAACUCUGCACGUCUUGACGGUACCUAAUCAGAAAGCCACGGCUAACUACGUG
rnacentral:rRNA from 1 species